rnacentral:rRNA from 1 species
UACGGAGGGUGCAAGCGUUGUCCGGAAUCACUGGGCGUAAAGGGCGCGUAGGCGGCUUCUUAAGCGUGUGGUGAAAGCGCGGGGCUCAACCCCGCGUCGGCCGUGCGAACUGGGGAGCUGGAGCACGUCAGAGGCAGGCGGAAUUCCGGGUGUAGCGGUGGAAUGCGUAGAGAUCCGGAAGAACACCGGUGGCGAAGGCGGCCUGCUGGGACGUGGCUGACGCUGAGGCGCGACAGCGUGGGGAGCAAACAGG